UACGGGGGGGGUAAGCGUUGUUCGGAAUUACUGGGCGUAAAGGGCUCGUAGGCGGCCAACUAAGUCAGACGUGAAAUCCCUCAGCUUAACUGGGGAACUGCGUCUGAUACUGGAUGGCUUGGAUUUGGGAGAGGGAUGCGGAAUUCCAGGUGUAGCGGUGAAAUGCGUAGAUAUUUGGAGGAACACCGGUGGCGAAGGCGGCAUCCUGGACCAAUAUUGACGCUGAGGAGCGAAAGCCAGGGGAGCAAACGGG
rnacentral:rRNA from 1 species